rnacentral:rRNA from 1 species
UACGAAGGGGGCUAGCGUUGCUCGGAAUCACUGGGCGUAAAGCGUGCGGAGGCGGUUCGCUGUGUCCGAUGUGAAAGCCCCGGGCUUAACCUGGGAGUGGCAUUGGAAACUGGCGGGCUUGAGUGUGGCAGAGGGGGGUGGAAUUCCGCGUGUAGCAGUGAAAUGCGUAGAGAUGCGGAGGAACACCGAUGGCGAAGGCAGCCCCCUGGGCUAACACUGACGCUCAGGCACGAAAGCGUGGGGAGCAAACAGG